GUUUGAAGUUGCCUUUUUACAGGGCGGCAUGACAAUUGACUUUCUUUUUUACGUUAAAAAAUGCUUUAAAAUACUAAUUUUGCUUGUUAUAGUUGUCCAUUUAAAUAACCCAAUGACUACUCACUCAGCUCGUCCGUAGCUGCUGCCAUUUUGAAAUAGUGUAUGAGAGAAAGCGGAUGACAUCGAGAAACGAGAAAUGUCGCUGAAUUUUGCAAUUAAUCGUUUUAUGUCGAAUCACUAUCUAUGUACUUUGACUAAACAUAUGCAAAUUGAUGUACUUUGUUUCACAACGCAAAAUACAAUAACAAAAUUUUGA